rnacentral:rRNA from 1 species
UACGUAGGGCGCAAGCGUUAUCCGGAAUUAUUGGCGUAAAGAGCUCGUAGGCGGUUUGUCGCGUCUGCCGUGAAAGUCCGGGGCUCAACUCCGGAUCUGCGGUGGGUACGGGCAGACUAGAGUGAUGUAGGGGGAGACUGGAAUUCCUGGUGUAGCGGUGAAAAUGCGCAGAUAUCAGGAGGAACACCGAUGGCGAAGGCAGGUCUCUGGGCAUUAACUGACGCUGAGGAGCGAAAGCAUGGGGGAGCGAACAGG